UACCUUUGUGCCCGAAUUGGUUUCGGAAGCUCUUUCGAGUUUCCGGAUUAAAAGGGAAUCGGGUGCAAAUCCAGAACAGUCCCGCUGCUGUGAAGCUCCGCUUGAAUUUUCUGAGAUAAUACCCCAUACCACUGAACAAAUCGGGAAGGUGUUCGGAAAAAAGGAGUCAGUCAGAAGACCUGCCAUUCAUUAAAAUGCUGC
rnacentral:ncRNA from 2 species